CUGACAAGGAAAGCAAAUGGCCCAAAAGGUCAACUCUGGUUGUUUCCAGGCGUCAUAGGAUGGGCUAUUAACAAAAGACAGAAUUCUUGCUUUCAAGGGACUCUCAGCCCAAUGAGGGAAGCAGCAUGGGGUCACUGCUAAAAGGGAGGAAAUAGGACCUACCACUCUCCUAAGAAGAGAAGAGAGAGCCACCUAUCUCUCCUUCCAUCUCGUGAAGACACAGCAAGAAAAGCCCUCCCCAAGAUCCCUGACCAUGCCGACACCUGGAUCUCAG